CCUACGGGAGGCAGCAGUGAGGAAUAUUGGUCAAUGGACGAGAGUCUGAACCAGCCAAGUAGCGUGAAGGAUGACUGCCCUAUGGGUUGUAAACUUCUUUUAUAUGGGAAUAAAAUGUUCCACGUGUGGGAUUUUGUAUGUACCAUAUGAAUAAGGAUCGGCUAACUCCGUGCCAGCAGCCGCGGUAAUACGGAGGAUCCGAGCGUUAUCCGGAUUUAUUGGGUUUAAAGGGAGCGUAGGUGGAUUGUUAAGUCAGUUGUGAAAGUUUGCGGCUCAACCGUAGAACUGCAGUUGAAACUGGCAGUCUUGAGUACAGUAGAGGUGGGCGGAAUUCGUGGUGUAGCGGUGAAAUGCUUAGAUAUCACGAAGAACUCCGAUUGCGAAGGCAGUUCACUGGACUGCAACUGACACUGAGGCUCGAAAGUGUGGGUAUCAAACAGGAUUAGAUACCCCAGUAGUC
rnacentral:rRNA from 1 species